rnacentral:snRNA from 1 species
GAGAGAGGAUUAGCCUGGCCCCUGCACAAGGAUGACAUGCAAGUUCAUGAAGUGCUCCGUAAGUUA